GAUGAACGCUGGCGGCGUGCUUAACACAUGCAAGUCGAACGAUGAUGCCCAGCUUGCUGGGUGGGUUAGUGGCGAACGGGUGAGUAACACGUGAGUAACCUGCCCUUGACUCUGGGAUAAGCCUGGGAAACUGGGUCUAAUACCGGAUACGACCAUCUGGCGCAUGUCAUGGGGGUGGAAAGCUUUCGUGGUUUGGGAUGGACUCGCGGCCUAUCAGCUUGUUGGUGGGGUAAUGGCCUACCAAGGCGACGACGGGUAGCCGGCCUGAGAGGGUGACCGGCCACACUGGGACUGAGACACGGCCCAGACUCCUACGGGAGGCAGCAGUGGGGAAUAUUGCACAAUGGGCGCAAGCCUGAUGCAGCGACGCCGCGUGAGGGAUGACGGCCUUCGGGUUGUAAACCUCUUUCAGUAGGGAAGAAGCGAAAGUGACGGUACCUGCAGAAGAAGCGCCGGCUAACUACGUG
rnacentral:rRNA from 1 species